CGGAGGAAGGUGGGGAUGACGUCAAGUCAUCAUGGCCCUUAUGUCCAGGGCGACACACGUGCUACAAUGGCCGGCACAGCGGGAAGCGGAGGGGCGACCCUGAGCGGAUCCCUUGAAAGCCGGUCCCAGUUCGGAUUGCAGUCUGCAACUCGACUGCAUGAAGUUGGAAUCGCUAGUAAUCGCGGAUCAGCCAAGCCGCGGUGAAUACGUUCCCGGGCCUU
rnacentral:rRNA from 1 species